CAGCCGCCACGGCAAUACCGGCGGCCCGAGUGGCGGUCACUAUUAUUGGGCUUAAAGCGUCCGUAGCCGGGUUGGGAAAUCCUCCGGGAAAUCUGGCCGCUUAACGGUCAGAAUGCCGGAGGAUACUCCCAGCCUAGGGAGCGGGAGAGGCCGAGGGUAUUCCCGGAGUAGGGGUGAAAUCCUAUAAUCCCGGGAGGACCACCUGUGGCGAAGGCGCUCGGCUGGAACGCGUCCGACGGUGAGGGACGAAGGCCAGGGGAGCAAACCGGAUUAGAUACCCGGGUAGUCCUGGCUGUAAACGAUGCGGACUUUGUGUCGGACAAGCUAUGAGCUUGUCCGGUGCCGGAGGGAAACCGUUAAGUCCGCCGCCUGGGGAGUACGGCCGCAAGGCUGAAACUUAAAGGAAUUGGCGGG
rnacentral:rRNA from 1 species